UACGGAGGGUGCUAGCGUUGUUCGGAAUCACUGGGCGUAAAGCGCGUGUAGGCGGUCCGUUAAGUCUGAUGUGAAAGCCCGGGGCUCACCCCCGGAAGUGCAUUGGAAACUGACGAACUCGAGUCCCGGAGAGGAGGGUGGAAUUCCUGGUGUAGCGGUGAAAUGCGUAGAUAUCAGGAGGAACACCGGUGGCGAAGGCGGCCCUCUGGACGGUGACUGACGCUGAGACGCGAAAGCGUGGGGAGCAAACAGG
rnacentral:rRNA from 1 species